AGUAGCCUUUGUGGUGUAAUAUUGCGGAGCUUCUGUGUAGUAAACCGGAGCCGCAUACGUGGUGGUGUAGUACAUCGGUGGUUCCGUAUAAUAGCUUGGGGCAGCAUACGUUGUUGUGUAUUGUGGAGCCUCUUAUUGCGGAGCCUCAGUGUAGUAUGCUGGAGCGGCGUAAGUGUUUGUGUAGUAUUCUGCUUUCUUUGUGUAGUACUCCGGGGCCUUUGUGGUGUAGUAUUGCGGAGCCUCUGUGUAAUAAACCGGGGCAGCGUAGGUAGUGGUGUAGUACUUCGGG